CCUUGCUUGGGAACAAAAAAGGAGGAAACAUCCGCCGGCCGGCGGUGCGGCAAUGUGGAGACUUGUCGUAAUGCCUCCGGGGUUUCGCUCCCCGGCGGCGAGACUGGGUUCGCGGAGGCGUCCCAGCCACGGUCAACGCGUAUGGCA
rnacentral:ncRNA from 1 species